GUUAGAUAUUCAUCUGCCCACAGUUAGACAAACUGUCUAUAAAUGGAGAUGAUUUAGUACUAUAGGUACUCUCACUAGAAGUGGCCGUUAGAUAUUCAUCUGUCCACAGUUAGACAAACUGUCUAUAAAUGGAGAUGAUUUAGUACUAUAGGUACUCUCACUAGAAGUGGCCGUUAGAUAUUCAUCUGUCCACAGUUAGACAAACUGUCUAUAAAUGGAGGUGAUUUAGUACUAUAGGUACUCUCACUAGAAGUGGCCGUUAGAUAUUCAUCUGUCCACAGUUAGAUAAACUGUCUAUAAAUGGAGAUGAUUUAGUACUAUAGGUA